ACCUAUAAGACUGGGAUAACUUCGGGAAACCGGAGCUAAUACCGGAUAAUAUAUUGAACCGCAUGGUUCAAUAGUGAAAGACGGUUUUGCUGUCACUUAUAGAUGGAUCCGCGCCGCAUUAGCUAGUUGGUAAGGUAACGGCUUACCAAGGCAACGAUGCGUAGCCGACCUGAGAGGGUGAUCGGCCACACUGGAACUGAGACACGGUCCAGACUCCUACGGGAGGCAGCAGUAGGGAAUCUUCCGCAAUGGGCGAAAGCCUGACGGAGCAACGCCGCGUGAGUGAUGAAGGUCUUCGGAUCGUAAAACUCUGUUAUUAGGGAAGAACAAAUGUGUAAGUAACUAUGCACGUCUUGACGGUACCUAAUCAGAAAGCCACGGCUAACUACGUGCCAGCAGCCGCGGUAAUACGUAGGUGGCAAGCGUUAUCCGGAAUUAUUGGGCGUAAAGCGCGCGUAGGCGGUUUUUUAAGUCUGAUGUGAAAGCCCACGGCUCAACCGUGGAGGGUCAUUGGAAACUGGAAAACUUGAGUGCAGAAGAGGAAAGUGGAAUUCCAUGUGUAGCGGUGAAAUGCGCAGAGAUAUGGAGGAACACCAGUGGCGAAGGCGACUUUCUGGUCUGUAACUGACGCUGAUGUGCGAAAGCGUGGGGGAUCAAACAGGAUUAGAUACCCUGGGUAGUCCACGCCGUAAACGAUGAGUGCUAAGUGUUAGGGGGGUUUCCGCCCCNUUAGUGCUGCAGCUAACGCAUUAAGCACUCCGCCUGGGGGAGUACGACCGG
rnacentral:rRNA from 1 species